rnacentral:rRNA from 1 species
ACUGGUUGAUUCUGCCAGAAGUCAUAUGCUUGUCUCAAAGAUUAAGCCAUGCAUGUGUAAGUUCACACUGAUUAACAGUAAAACUGCGGACGGCUCAUUACAACAGUACUAACCUAUUUGGAUGUUCAACGCUAAAAGGAUAACUGCCGCAAUUCGGGAGCUAAUACUUGCUAAAAGCGUCGCAAGACGUGUUUUUCCUUUCCUUAAAUCGAUCACCUAUGGUGUCUUCUGAGGAGUCGAGGGAACUUAACGGACCGCAUUCUUCGGAGGCGGUCGUCCAUUCGGAGUACUGACUUAUCAAAUGUCGAUGGUUCGGUAUUGGCGAACCAUGUUGGUAACGAGUAACGGGGAAUCAGGGUUCGAUUCCGGAGAGGCAGCCUGAGAAACGGCUGGCACAUCUAAGGAAGGCAGCAGGCGCGUAAAUUACCCAUUGCAGACUCUGCGAGGUAGUGACAAGAAAUAACGAGGCGUUGAUCCUAGUGAUCGUCGCUGUCGGAAUGAGAGCAGUUUAAAAUGCUCAUCGAGUAUCAAUUGAAGGGAAAGUCUGGUGCCAGCAGCCGCGGUAAUUCCAGCUUCAAUAGCGUAUACUUAAGUUGUUGUGGUUGAAGAGCUCGUAGUCGUAACUCUGGAUUAUCAACUUGUAGUGGGCGUCGCUUCGGUGGUGCUCACUUUAGGAGUUUGGUAUCCUCAUUUUGACGUUUGGGUGCGGGUGUCAUUAACUUGACGUCCGUAAACUGCGUCGAUUUUACCUUGAAUAAAUCGGAGUGCUCAAAGCAGGCUCUAAUGCUUGAACGAUUGUGCAUGGGAUAAUGGAACAGGGCGUCUCCGCCCUUACAUUGGUUUAAGUGGAGACGUAAUGAUAGAUAGGAACGGACGGCGUGAUUCGUACGAGAGGGUGAAAGGUGAAAUUUUUAGAUCCUUCUCAGACGAGCGGAUGCGAAGGCGUUUCACGAGAACGUUUUCAUUGAUCAAGAGCGAAAGAAGCAGGUUCGAAAACGAUUAGAUACCGUUGUAGUUGCUUCCGUAAACGAUUUAGACUUGCGAUAGGCAAGGGUUGUUAAUAACCUUGUCUGCAGCUUCCGGGAAACCAAAGUGUUUGUAGCCCAGGGGGAGUAUGGUUGCAAAGCUGAAACUUAAAGAAAUUGACGGAAGGGCACCACCAGGCGUGGAGCCUGCGGCUUAAUUUGACUCAACACGGGACAACUUGCCCGGCCCGGACACAGGAAUGAUUGACAGAUUGAGAGCUCUUUCUUGAUUCUGUGGGUGGUGGUGCAUGGCCGUUCUUAGUCGGUGGAGUGAUUUGUCUGGUUAAUUCCGAUAACGGACGAGACUCUGACAUGCUAACUAGUUUCGCUUGCUACCUUUUAGGUCAGGUGGGAACUUCUUAGAUGGAUUGGCGCCUUUUUGAAUGCGCAUGA